rnacentral:pre_miRNA from 1 species
CCUCCCAUCAGAGUGGUUGUGAUGUGGUGCUAUUAAUUCAUAUCACAGCCAGCUUUGAUGAGCGGAA